rnacentral:rRNA from 1 species
UACAGAGGGUGCUAGCGUUGUUCGGAAUCAUUGGGCGUAAAGGGCGUGUAGGCGGUUUGUUAAGUCAUGUGUGAAAUCCCUCGGCUCAACCGGGGAACGACGCAUGAAACUGGCAGCUAGAGUACCAAAGAGGGGGUGGAAUUCCCGGUGUAGCGGUGAAAUGCGCAGAUAUCGGGAAGAACACCCGUGGCGAAGGCGGCUCUCUGGGACGGUACUGACGCUGAGACGCGAAAGCGUGGGGAGCGAACAGG